rnacentral:rRNA from 1 species
GAGUUUGAUCCUGGCUCAGAUUGAACGCUGGCGGCAUGCCUUACACAUGCAAGUCGAACGGCAGCACGGGAGCUUACUCCUGGUGGCGAGUGGCGAACGGGUGAGUAAUGCAUCGGAACGUAUCCUGGAGUGGGGGAUAACGUAGCGAAAGUUACGCUAAUACCGCAUAUUCUGUGAGCAGGAAAGCGGGGGACCUUCGGGCCUCGCGCUCUUGGAGCGGCCGAUGUCGGAUUAGCUAGUUGGUGAGGUAAAGGCUCACCAAGGCGACGAUCCGUAGCAGGUCUGAGAGGGAUGAUCUGCCACACUGGAACUGAGACACGGUCCAGACUCCUACGGGAGGCAGCAGUGGGGAAUUUUGGACAAUGGGGGCAACCCUGAUCCAGCCAUGCCGCGUGAGUGAAGAAGGCCUCGGUU